AGCGAACGCUGGCGGCAGGCUUAACACAUGCAAGUAGAGCGGGCCCUUCGGGGUCAGCGGCAGACGGGUGAGUAACCCGUGGGAACGUACCCUUUGGUUCGGAAUAACGCUGGGAAACUAGCGCUAAUACCGGAUACGCCCUUUUGGGGUAAGGCUUGCUGGCGAAGGCUCGGCCCGCGUAGGAUUGGCUAGUUGGUGGGGUAAUGGCCUACCAAGGCGACGAUCAGUAGCUGGUCUGAGAGGAUGAUCAGCCACACUGGGACUGAGACACGGCCCAGACUCCUACGGGAGGCAGCAGUGGGGAAUAUUGGACAAUGGGCGCAAGCCUGAUCCAGCCAUGCCGCGUGAGUGAUGAAGGCCUUAGGGUUGUAAAGCUCUUUUGUCCGGGACGAUAAUGACGGUACCGGAAGAAUAAGCCCCGGCUAACUUCGUG
rnacentral:rRNA from 1 species